UAGAGGAAGUAAAAGUCGUAACAAGGUCUCCGUUGGUGAACCAGCGGAGGGAUCAUUACCGAGUUUACAACUCCCAAACCCAAUGUGAACGUUACCAAACUGUUGCCUCGGCGGGGUCACGCCCCGGGUGCGUCGCAGCCCCGGAACCAGGCGCCCGCCGGAGGAACCAACCAAACUCUUUACUGUAGUCCCCUCGCGGACGUUUUUACUUACAGCUCUGAGCAAAAAUUCAAAAUGAAUCAAAACUUUCAACAACGGAUCUCUUGGUUCUGGCAUCGAUGAAGAACGCAGCGAAAUGCGAUAAGUAAUGUGAAUUGCAGAAUUCAGUGAAUCAUCGAAUCUUUGAACGCACAUUGCGCCCGCCAGUAUUCUGGCGGGCAUGCCUGUCCGAGCGUCAUUUCAACCCUCGAACCCCUCCGGGGGGUCGGCGUUGGGGAUGCGGGAACCCCUAAGACGGGAUCCCGGCCCCGAAAUACAGUGGCGGUCUCGCCGCAGCCUCUCCUGCGCAGUAGUUUGCACAACUCGCACCGGGAGCGCGGCGCGUCCACGUCCGUAAAACACCCAACUUUCUGAAAUGUUGACCUCGGAUCAGGUAGGAAUACCCGCUGAACUUAAGCAUAUCAAUA
rnacentral:rRNA from 1 species